rnacentral:rRNA from 1 species
UACGUAGGGGGCUAGCGUUGUCCGGAAUCAUUGGGCGUAAAGAGCGUGUAGGCGGUCCGGUAAGUCAGCUGUGAAAGUCAAGGGCUCAACCCUUGAAUGCCGGUUGAUACUGUCGGGCUAGAGUCCGGAAGAGGCGAGUGGAAUUCCCGGUGUAGCGGUGAAAUGCGCAGAUAUCGGGAGGAACACCAGUGGCGAAGGCGGCGAUCUGGGAACAUACUGACGCUGAGGUGCGAAAGCGUGGGGAGCAAACAGG